UGGGGAAUAUUGCACAAUGGGCGCAAGCCUGAUGCAGCCAUGCCGCGUGUGUGAAGAAGGCCUUCGGGUUGUAAAGCACUUUCAGCGAGGAGGAAGGUGGUGAACUUAAUACGUUCAUCAAUUGACGUUACUCGCAGAAGAAGCACCGGCUAACUCCGUGCCAGCAGCCGCGGUAAUACGGAGGGUGCAAGCGUUAAUCGGAAUUACUGGGCGUAAAGCGCACGCAGGCGGUUUGUUAAGUCAGAUGUGAAAUCCCCGGGCUCAACCUGGGAACUGCAUUUGAAACUGGCAAGCUAGAGUCUCGUAGAGGGGGGUAGAAUUCCAGGUGUAGCGGUGAAAUGCGUAGAGAUCUGGAGGAAUACCGGUGGCGAAGGCGGCCCCCUGGACGAAGACUGACGCUCAGGUGCGAAAGCGUGGGGAGCAAAACAGGAUUAGAUACCCCUGGUAGGUCCACGCUGUAAAACGAUGUCGAUUUGGAGGUUGUGCCCUUGAGGCGUGGCUUCCGGAGCUAACG
rnacentral:rRNA from 1 species